UACGUAGGCAGCGAGCGUUGUUCGGAGUUACUGGGCGUAAAGAGUGCGUAGGCGGUUUUCUAAGUUUGGUGUGAAAUCUCCCGCUUAACUGGGAGGGUGCGCCGAAGACUGGAAGGCUUGAGUAUGGGAGAGGUAAGCGGAAUUCCCAGUGUAGUGGUGAAAUACGUAGAGAUUGGGAAGAACACCAGUGGCGAAGGCGGCUAUCUGGACGGUUUCUGACACUAAGACUCGAAAGCGUGGGGAGCAAACAGG
rnacentral:rRNA from 1 species